GCCGAAGUGGUGGAAUUGGUAGACACGCUGGACUCAGGAUUCAGUAGGCCUUAAAUAAGCCUGUACCGGUUCGAAUCCGGUCUUCGGCA
rnacentral:tRNA from 1 species